UCUGCUUCUAGAGGCUUUGCAGGUAUGGCUGCUUUGUCACAUUUGUAUUGGAAGGUCGCAGAGGAGAGAGCCUAUGUCUAUGAUCAAUAUUCCUACCUGUAAACAUCUGAAUGUUUAGUAACCUAUCUCC